rnacentral:misc_RNA from 1 species
UUUCCGUAGGCGAACCUGCGGAAGGAUCAUUCAUAGUAAGUGUUUUAUGGCACUUUUUUAAAUCCAUAUCCACCUUGUGUGCAAUGUCAGGGUUGAUUUUUCUCUCGAGAGGAUCAACCCCAAACAUCAACUAUAUCUCAACUCUUUGUCUGAAAAAUAUUAUGAAUAAAACAAUUCAAAAUACAACUUUCAACAACGGAUCUCUUGGCUCUC